CGGAGGCCCGCUCCCGGAGACGCCGCCUCGCGAUCCCCGCGCGGGCGGGACCGGGCGGCCGGCGUCAUGACCCUGUUUCACUUCGGGAACUGCUUCGCUCUUGCCUACUUCCCCUACUUCAUCACCUACAAGUGCAGCGGCCUGUGAGUGCGGGAAGGGCGCGGGGCGGAGAGGGCGCGGGGCCCGGGCCGACCCUCACCUCCCGCUUCUCCAGGUCCGAGUACAACGCCUUCUGGAAAUGCGUCCAGGCUGGAGUCACCUACCUCUUUGUCCAACUCUGCAAGAUGCUGUUCUUGGCCACUUUCUUUCCCACCUGGGAAGGCGGCAUCUAUGACUUCAUUGGGGAGUUCAUGAAGGCCAGCGUGGAUGUGGCAGACCUGAUAGGUCUAAACCUUGUCAUGUCCCGGAAUGCCGGCAAGGGGGAGUACAAGAUCAUGGUUGCUGCCCUGGGCUGGGCCACUGCCGAGCUUAUUAUGUCCCGGUGCGUACAGCAGCCUGGAGCCCAGACCCCUGAGAAGGGACACCUGGGUUCCACGGGGGUGCUGGAGGGCAGGGGCUCAAAGCCUGGUGCUGAAGGUGUCUGAGUACUGGAGAAUCCCAUCCUUUGCCUUCCUCAGCUGCAUUCCCCUAUGGGUCGGAGCCCGGGGCAUUGAGUUUGACUGGAAGUACAUCCAGAUGAGCAUAGACUCCAACAUCAGUCUGGUAGGCAGUCGUGCUUUCCCACAUACACAUUUCUGCUGGCGGCCAUACUCCUCCCCGAGGCCUGGCCCCGACUUUCUGCCUCCCUCCAGGUCCAUUACAUCGUCGCGUCUGCUCAGGUCUGGAUGAUAACACGCUAUGAUCUGUACCACACCUUCCGGCCAGCUGUCCUCCUGCUGAUGUUCCUCAGUGUCUACAAGGCCUUCGUUAUGGAGACCUUCGUCCACCUCUGCUCGCUGGGCAGUUGGACAGCUCUACUGGCCCGAGCAGUGGUAACGGGGCUGCUGGCCCUCAGCACUUUGGCCCUGUAUGUCGCCGUUGUCAAUGUGCACUCCUAGGCUGGGUGUCUCAAACAUUGAUGUACCUUUUCCCUGCCUCGCUCCAGGUUUUAGUGAAGUAAACAGUAUUUGGAAAGUU
rnacentral:sRNA from 1 species